rnacentral:rRNA from 1 species
AGCGAACGCUGGCGGCAGGCCUAACACAUGCAAGUCGAACGAACUCUUCGGAGUUAGUGGCGGACGGGUGAGUAACACGUGGGAACGUGCCUUUUGGUUCGGAAUAACUCAGGGAAACUUGUGCUAAUACCGAAUGUGCCCUUCGGGGGAAAGAUUUAUCGCCAUUAGAGCGGCCCGCGUCUGAUUAGCUAGUUGGUGAGGUAACGGCUCACCAAGGCGACGAUCAGUAGCUGGUCUGAGAGGAUGACCAGCCACACUGGGACUGAGACACGGCCCAGACUCCUACGGGAGGCAGCAGUGGGGAAUCUUGCGCAAUGGGCGAAAGGCUGACGCAGCCAUGCCGCGUGAAUGAUGAAGGUCCUAGGAUUGUAAAAUUCUUUCACCGGGGACGAUAAUGACGGUACCCGGAGAAGAAGCCCCGGCUAACUUCGUG